UACGUAGGGUGCAAGCGUUAAUCGGAAUACUGGGCGUAAAGCGUGCGCAGGCGGUGAUGUAAGACAGAUGUGAAAUCCCCGGGCUCAACCUGGGAACUGCAUUUGUGACUGCAUCGCUGGAGUGCGGCAGAGGGGGAUGGAAUUCCGCGUGUAGCAGUGAAAUGCGUAGAUAUGCGGAGGAACACCGAUGGCGAAGGCAGG
rnacentral:rRNA from 1 species